rnacentral:lncRNA from 1 species
CCGAAUUUAAUUUUACCCAUUUUUUAACUUACCUUACCAUGAACCCUCAACCAUAUAAUUAUCCCCCACAAAAAUACAAAAUAACCAAAAUCCAUAACCAAUUGAGUCCUAUCCUAACAAACCUUAUCUCAACAAAAUCACACCUCACCACCCUGUUCCUACCCCACCUCGCUACCCUACCCUUACCCAUGUUUUUGUCCAACCGAAAUACAUAUACGGCUACAGAAUUGAAAAGAAGGGGAAGGGGGGCCCACAUGAUAUUCCUUUUUCGUCUUUCUUUCCAAAUGGAUAAGGGGGACUUUUUUUGCUUGGGCUAUCAUCACAAAGAAUAAAAUAUAUAUACACCAUUGCACACAAUUUUCAUUUUGGGGAUGGGGGAGGGAGGGACCCGCAGGGAACACAAUAUUCUCUCCGUUCUUUAUAUAUAUCACACACAGGCCCUCCUCAUCAGAGAGUAACAACAAUACCCUCACACUGACCUCACCAUCACACACCCAUAUACACUACACACUCUUAAUUCUACCGGGAUACACACAGAAACGGAUAGAUAAGAGAUGACGUGAGAAAGAGAGAGCUGUUAGAGAGUGAGAAAGAAAUCUGUGAGAGAGUGACAGAGAUUUAUGAGAGAGGGAGAGAUUCGCGAUUGAAAUCGAAAGAGAAUGAUGGCAAAGCAGUUUUCGGUGAGUGAGAGCUUGAGGAACACGAGUUUGGAGGUUUGAUUACUGUUCCGGGGAUAGGCUCGCCGGAAUAGCGUCUAGCUAUCGUAAAUUUGUUCAAAACCCAACGAAUACGUCUCAACUGAUAUAUCUUUGUCAUUUUGGUCAUAGCAGAAGUUUAUUGGGGUUACAACAACACAAAAUUAUCAAACAAACCUCGAUCUGCUUUUGAUUCCGUCCAAACCCGUUGGAAUUGGGCCGGAUUUCUCUUAUUUCUCAUGAUUUUUUGUUCGAGGUUGUGUGGGUUUGUGAGAAUCUAGUCCAGGUCUCUUUGUUUUUGUGAUUCUCAGUUUCGAGUUGGAUGAGUUCAUUUGUUUGAGGUUCGGUUCGAGGUUUCUGGGCGUGGAUUCUCUUUAUUCGAAUAACAUUGAAUUUGAAAGCUACGAAUCAAGGUCCAAUUCUAUUAUCUCUCUUUAUAUUUCAUUAUUUAAUGUAUUUUGGUGCGUUGGAUUGAAUAUUGUAUGUUUUGUUUGAUCCUUGUUGGUGAUGAAUGCGUAUUUGUUUUGAUUCGCGGUUGGUUCCUUUGAUUAUGAUUUGUAUGGUGAAAUAGCAUCUCAUUUGAUAAUUAAAAUUGGUUGUUUGGGGCGGAAUUAAAAUUGAUAAAAGUAAAUACAUAUUUGUUUUAAUUCAUUAUUAGCGGUUUAAUUUGGAAUAAGCAUGAAUUUUGUUGAAACAGAUAGGCAAAUGUAGGUUUGGGUAGGCAAAUUUAGAACUUGUGUCUGUUUGAAUGUUUGAAUGUGCGUGGGCCGUACUUGAUUCUAAUGUAUUCAUUUAGAGUAGGUGUUUCAUGUACAUCUUUAAAAGAAAACAACAAAAAAAAUAUAUUUUCCUUUAAUAGGUUCAAGUGUCAUUUUCGUAUGAAAUUCAAAAAUCGAAAAUCCAAAAAUAUUUUCUUUGGUAAUCAUAGAUUUCAUUUUGUACAGGAAUCUAAAAAAAUUUAAAAGAUUUCCCUCACUCUUUAUUUAGAGUAAGUAUACAUCUUUAAAAGAAAACUACAUAAUGAUUUUUCUUUAAUAGGUUCAAGUUUCAUUUUCAUAGGAAAUUCAAAAUGGAAAACCCAAAAAGAUUUUCUUUGGUAAUUAUAGAUUUCAUUUUGUAUAAAGAUUUAAACUUGAAAAAUACAAAAAUAUUUUUGUCAAUUCUUUUGACAAUUUGUUAUUUUCUUCUCUUUGAAGUUUCAAGAAAAAGAAUAAAAAAAAGGAGUUUAAUUGGCCAUUUUGGCAAGACUUCACGAACUAUGCAUACAUGAUUCUCCUCUUUCGGGAGUGAGAUACGUAGGCACCCUUCUUGGGUUCAGUGAUCUUUUCAAAAAAAAGGGGGAGGAGGUGGGGGGGAGGUUUUGAAAAAGUGUUGAACUCAAACACAUUUGUUGGUUUUUGUUAAGUCAGUUUAAGGUGGUUGGUUUGUGGCAUUCUGGCCGAUCCUUCACCUCACACCAAAUCCAAAGGGUUAGUUGUGUCCAACAAAGAUAUAGAGAGUGGCGUUAUGGAUCAAACAAAAAAUCAGGAAAAUGAGAGUUUUAAGCAAGAGAUUAGGUAGCUAAGACAACAAAUGACAGAAAUGCAUCGAGCUUAGGCCAGUGGGUUGCCUCCUCCUCCAUUUCCCUUUAUUGAUCCUACAAAUACCACGAGUUUUUCACCAAAAAUCUCAAAUUCAGUUUUCUACUAUUGUUGAUGCACCGCAACAUGACUCAGAAUUCAUUCCAAGCUAAAAGCAUCUCAAUACUCCCACCACUUUUCCUCUAGCUCCUCAGCAUAAGCUUGCUACAUUCAUAACACCAUAUGUCUUCUGUGAUCUUAUUGCUCAAUUCUCUACUAAGACGUCUACACUGGCUCGCACAAUGGUCGGGCAUCCCCAUGCAGCUAGUGAACCUAUAUUAAAUACUCUUGGUGAUCAUUGUUAUACUCCUGAGCCUGCUUUUAAGUUAACUGGACCACCAAAAUUUCUUAACAAAAAGUUCAGUGAGCCAGAAAAGUUGGAAAAAUGGUUGGAAAAAUGAAGAGUGCAGAAAGUGCUAUGAAAAAUUCUCUAGGACCUGCGGGUAAAGAAGAUGUUUCAUACAAAGACUGGGGCAUGCCUUCAAGCGCUAACCUUCCUCCAAUCUUUGAGAUGUCAAAAUUUGAGGAGCAAGAUGGGCAUGAGGAAUCCGUGAAACAUUUGGGACAAUAUUGCAAUCAAUUAAGGGAACCUGGAGGGAAGAAGAAUGAGAAAGAUGGCACUGCUAUUGUAGUUGGAGAACGGGCACAUCCAAUAAGACGACGUCGUCGUUUCCGUCAGUAUCAAGCCCAAGUUCAUACCCAAUCUCUCCAUAAUCACUCCCAAAAUCCAUUAUACCCUGUUUCCCCACCUCCAUAUCGAGUAUAUUGCGCACAACCAUAUGUUCAACUCCCUCUUUACCUACAAUGGCGCGCACCAACUCCUCAAAGUCAUCCUCUAAUUCCCCAAACAUACCAAAGCCCUUCUAGGCCCGAUGUUCGAUCCAAGUUAAACAAUGAAAUAAGGUAGAAAUUGAGGGAUAGUUUCACACCAAUUGGAGAGUCGUAUGCCAGUUUAUUUCAGAGAUUGGCACAAUGAGGCAUGAUUACUCCUCUCUUUGGGUAUACUCAUAACCCGCAUUCAAGAAGUUUUGAUCCUAAUGUAUGAUGUGCAUAUCAUUCUGAUGUUCAAGGUCACAGUAUUGAAGAUUGUCAUGCUUUGAAAAGAGAAAUUGAAAAGAUGAUUCAAGACAAAUUGAUUAUGGUGCAGAACAUUGAAAGUGAGGAUAACUCUAGUCAUGCUGAUAUGCAAACUAGUGGCUAAGAUGUCAGGCUGAGAAAUUGAGAAGUCACCCUUCUCCCUACUAGGAAGAGGUCUGAUAGUUUGUUUUGUUUUAUUUUCUAUUAUCCGAAUUAUUUCAGGGUUGUAGUUCGGGAUCUAUCUUGUUUUGUCCAUUUGUCAUUAUUUUCAAACCCUUCUAUCUUUUAUUUUAAUUAAAUGAAGUAUCCCUUUCUCCUUUGUGUUUUAAAUAUGUUUUUGUUUAUUUUCUUUCCACAUUACAUUUUAUGUUAACUCUAGUGAUAUGACAUGCUAACGGAAUUUUCAGUCAGAUCUUAAAAUCCAGUUUAAGCAUGAACCUUGAAUCAGAGGGUUAAAGUUAGAAAAUAGAGCAUCUGAGAAAAUAGGUAGAGUGUUGAGACAUUUGGGGACAAGUUCAAGCCUUCUUGGAAAAUUAAGGCAAUUAUUUUGAGAAUCACAAGAAUAAAUUGGUCAUUAAUUGAAAGACAUAGCUCAAUUAGGUCAAAUAAUGGCUGCGUGAACAGAAAGAAAAUCAGCUCCACGAAAGCAUGAAUAAUUCGAUGUGAGGAAUGUACAACAAAAGCGGAGUGAUAUGUUGAACAAAGUGAAAGAGUAGUGACGCAUAGACUCAGUUAAAGUUAAUGCUUAAAAAUGUCACAAAUGAUCAUCAUCUCUCACUUUUAUAUUGCAUGAUAUAUACUUGCAUUUUUAUGGAUUGAUAUGACGAAGGCAUUUGAUUCUGCUAUCCAAAUAUCGUGUCAUCCUUUGUUUACCUAAUUUGAGCUUUAGUCCUAUUUUAUUUCAUACCCCUCUUUUGGAAUCAAGAUAGAGUCAAAAGAAAAGUGUCGAGCAAAACAAUAGAGUCAGAAAAAGUUCAAAAAAAAAAUAGAAGAAAAAGAAAAUAUGUCCAAAAAGAAAAAGAAAAAGAAAAGAAAAGUGUCAGGACAAGUAGAGUCAAAAAAAUCCAAAGAGAAAAAAGUGUUAAUAAAAGAAAAAGAAUCAAAAGUCUAAAUCAUGCAAAAUAAGCUGCCAGAACUAUGCAUGACCUGAUUCUCCUCUCUCAGGGGUGAGAUAAGUAGGUUGCCCUACUAAGGGCUCAAUCCAACCAAAUAAACAAUUUAGAAUUUCGCAGUCAAAAGAAAUUGGGGCAUGAUUUAAUCUUCAUUGUUUGAGUCGAUUCCAAAAGUUGUAAGUCCUACCUCACUUCAAGUGUCUUUUAGGCCUUAUGUUAUCCUUUUCUUCUAACCUUAUCCAAAAGCCAAGAUAUAACCAAAGAAAGACCUUUAGAUCAAUCUUUGAGAAUGUUAAGACUAAGCAUGCAAUGAAUGUGAUGACACAUUUUGGGAACUACUUGUCUACUUUAGCAAUAAGAAUCGGGAGAGAAAUAAAAAUGAGAGAGUCUUAUUAGUGAAAACCCUCACGGGCACCGUAAGAUAAUGGUAAGCUGAGGGAAAUAAAAAUGAGAGAGUCUUAUCGGUGAAAAUCCUCACGUGCACCGUAUGAUGAUGGUAAGCUGAGGGAUAUAACAAUGAGAGAGUCUUAUCGAUGAAAACUCUCACGGGCACUGUAAGAUGAUGGUAAGCUGAGGGAGAUAACAAUGAGAGAGUCUUAUCGGUGAAAACCCUCACGGGCCCUAUAAGACAACAGUGAGUUGAGACAAAUAGAAAUAAGAGAGUUUCAUUGGUGAAAAUCCCUCAUGGACACCAUAGGGAAAUAGUGAGCUGGGAAAAAGAAAAUGAGAGAGGCUUGUUGGCAAAAACCAUUCAAGGGGUCACUAGCCGAAUGAGAUCUUAAAUGCAAUUGGCCUAAGGAAGCAACUCAAUUUCGAGGUCAUUAACUCAACAACAAUUGAUAGAAAGUUUUGGAUAUAAAAAUUAGGCAGUUUAAUCCGAUAUGCAUGUCAUAAUUAUUAGAGUUGACUAUCAUUUUCAGAUAAACUUUUCUUUCAUCUUUUUCAAUGGGGACAUUCAUUGUCGUUUCUUACUUCUCUUUAGUUAUAUUUUUAUUUCGUUGAGUUAGUUAUCCAAAUAAAACAAAAAUUGUUGUCAUUUUUCUAUUGUCUUUGAGUCAAGUCCAUGUCAAAACAAAUGAGAAAAGAUUUCAAAAUUGGCUACCAGCUUCUUCAAUUGCACAAAGCAAGACAAAGCGCCAACACAUAAAAGAAACAAGAUUGCAAGCUAGAACAAGGCAUGCAGAAAGUUUUGUCAAUAGAUAAGUCUGGGAACUCAUGCAAAUACCAAGGUUCAAAGAGUUUAUCUGAGUAGCAUGGCGAAGCAGAGAUACUGUGUUUGUUUUAGAGUCAUUUCCAUGAUAAAGCAGGGGAAAGUGCCAGCAAUCAGAAACAAAAUGAAGGGAAUGAACACUGGAACAGGUGUCAGGAAGGCCAAGUGCUGCAAACCACCACUAAGUUUGUGACUGAAUAAUUUUCUUUGUUGAAAUAGGGGCAAAUUCGCUUUACUUAAUUCAUCUACCAUUUGAAAUACACAUCCGUGAGAUUUCACUUUCUGUCCAGGACCCUCCUAAAAAAUGGGAUUUUACUUUUUGUUCAGGACCCUCCUAAAAAAUAAGAUUUUAUCUUCUGUUCAGGACCCUCUUGAAGAAUGGGAUUUUACCUUCUAUUCAGGACCUUCCUGAAAAAUGGGAUUUUACUUUUUGUUCAGGACCCUCCUAAAAAAUAAGAUUUUAUCUUCUGUUCAGGACCCUCCUGAAGAAUGGGAUUUUACCUUCUAUUCAGGACCCUCCUGAAAAAUGGGAUUUUACUUUAUGUUCAGGACCCUUCUGAAAAAUGGAAUUUUACUUUAUGUUUAGGACCCUCCUAAAAAUGAGAUUUUACCUUCUGUUCAGGACCCUCCUGAAAAAUAGGAUUUUACUUUCUGUUCAGGACCCUCCUAAAAAUUGGAAUUUUACUUUAUGUUCAGGACCCUCGUGAAAAUGGGAUUUUACUUUAUGUUCAGGACCCUCCUGAAAAAUGGGAUUUUACCUUCUGUUCAGGACCCUCCUGAAAAUGGGAUUUUACCUUCUGUUCAGGACCCUCCUGAAAAUGGGAUUUUACCUUCUGUUCAGGACCUUCCUGAAAAAAAAAUGAGAUUUUACUUUAUGUUCAGGACCCUCUUGAAAAAUAAGAUUUUACUUUCUGUUUAGGACUCCCCUGAAAAAUGGGAUUUCACUUUCUGUUCAGGACCCUCCUGAAAAAUGGGAUUUCACUUUAUGUCCAGGACCCUCAUGAAAAAUGGGAUUUUAAUUUCUGUUCAGGACCCUCCUAAAAAAUGGGAUUUCACUUUAUUUUUAGGUCCCUCCUGAAAAAUAAGAUUUUACUUUCUGUUCAGGACCCUCCUGAAAAAUGGGAUUUCACUUUAUGUCCAGGACCCUCAUGAAAAAUGGGAUUUUAAUUUCUGUUCAGGACCCUCCUAAAAAAUGGGAUUUCACUUUAUGUUUAGGGCCCUCCUGAAAAAUAAGAUUUUACUUUCUGUUCAGGACCCUCCUGAAAAAUGGGAUUUUACUUUUUGUUUAGGACCGUCCUGAAAAAUGAGAUUUUACUUUCUGUUCAGGACUCUCCUGGAAAAUGGGACUUUACUUCCUGUUUAGGAACCUCCUAGAAAAUGGGACUUUACUUUCUGUUCAGGACCCUCCUGGAAAAUGAGAUUUUACUUUCUGUUCAAGGCCCUCCUGAAAAAUGAGAUUUUACUUUUUGUUCAGGACCCUCUUAGAAAAUAGGCUUUUACUUUCUGUUCAGGACCCUCCAGAAAAAUGAGAUUUUACUUUCUGUUCAGGACCCUCCUGGAAAAUGGGACAUUACUUUCAGCAAAAAUGAAAUCUUUCUUUAUCAUAAUCUUUCUUUGGGAUAAUUUUCGUUCCAGUUUUGAUUUUGAUUUCAAGAGGCCGCCUGAAGAAUAGGGUGAUGGAACUGCAAGUUAGGAGCCCGCCUGAAGAACAGGGUGAUGAAGCUGUAAGUCAGGAGCCUGCCUGAAGAACAGAGUGAUGAACUUGAAAGACAAAUAUGGCAAGUUAGAAGCCCGCCUGUAGAGCAGGGCGAAUAAAUAAAAGUCCAGCAACAUGGUGAAAAAGUUGAAAGUCAAGCGACAAGGUGAAAAAAUUAAAAGUUAAACAGUUGAUGAAAUAGCAAGUGAGGAACCUGCCUGAAGAACAAGGUGAAGAAAUUAAAAACCAAGCAACAAGUUGAAGAAAUUGCAAGUCAGGAGCCCACCUGAAGAACAGGGUGAUGAAACUCAAGUCAAAAGUCCAAAAGAUUUUGUAAUUUCAUUUAUAUUUUUAACUUGUAAUUUUCAUUUUUGAUGUAAUGAUAGAUCCGCAGACCGGAGCCUCGACGGGACCUCACUCGACUCUCCAACUCGGUAGUCUUUCUACCUUCUAUUUCUUUCUUUGAAUAAUGUUCGGGUCAAAAUUUGAUCUCAUUGUCUACUUCUUUGUCUGAAAACACUUCGUGUUUACAUUCAAAGGGGGCAUGAUGUAGAUACCUAAUUUUGUCCCUCCCGAAUUUAAUUUUACCCAUUUUUUAACUUACCUUACCAUGAACCCUCAACCAUGUACUUAUCCCCCCAAAAAAUACAAAAAUAACCAAAAUCCAUAACCAAUUGAGUCAUAUCCUAACAAACCUUAUCUCAACAAAAUCACACCUCACCACCCUGCCCCUACCCCACCUCGCUACCCUACCCCCUAACCCAUUUUUUUGUCCAACAAAAAUACAUUUACGGCUACAGAAUUGAAAAGAAGAGGGAAGGGGGCCCACAUGAUAUUCCUUUUUAGUUUUUCUUUCCAAAUGGAUUAGGGGGGCCUUUUUUGCUUGGGACAUCAUCACAAAGAAUAAAAUAUAUAUACACCAUUGCACACAAUUUUCAUUUUUAGGGGGGAGGGACUCGCAGAGAACACAAUAUUCUCUCCAGUCUUUAUAUAUAUCACACACAGGCCCUCCUCAUCAGAGAGUAACAACAAUACCCUCACAGUAAUAUCACUGUCACACACCCAUAUACACUACACACUCUUAAUUUUACCAGGAUACACACAGAAAUAGAUAGAUAAGAGAUGACGUGAGAAAGAGAGAGCUACAAGAAAGUGACACAGAUCUAUGAGAGAGAUAUCUACGAGAGAGUGAUAGAGAUUUACGAGAGAGAGAGAUCUACGAUUGAAAUCGAAAGAGAACAAUGGCAAAGCAGUUUUCGGCGAGUGAGAGCUUGAGGAACACAAGUUUUGUGGUUUGAUUACUGUUCCGGCGACAGGCUCGCCGGAAUUGCGUCUAGCUAUCAUAAAUUCAUUCAAAACCCAUUGAAUACGUCUCAACUGAUAUCUAUUUGUCGUUUUGGUCAUAGCUGAAGUUUACCGGGGUUACAACGACACAAAAUUAUCAAACAAACCUCGAUCUACUUUUGAUUCGGUCCAAACCCAUUGGAAUCGGGCUGGAUUUCUCUUAUUUCUAAUGAUUUUUAGUUCGAGGUUGUGUACGUUCGUGAGAAUUUGGUCCAGGUCUCUUUGUUUCUAUGAUUCUCAAUUUUGAGUUAGAUGAGUUCGUUUGUUUGAGGUUCGGUUCAAGGUUUCCGAGUGCGGAUUCUCUUUAUUCGAAUAACAUUGAGUUUGAAAGCUACAAAUCGAGGUCCAAUUUUAUUAUCUCUCUUUUUAUUUCAUUAUUUAUUGUAUUUUGGUGUGUUGGAUUGAAUAUUGUGUGUUAUGUUUGAUCCUUGUUGGUGAUGAAUGCGUUUUUGUUU